UGUUCUUGUCUCUUGACAGGUCUGUGAGGAUGAGAAGGUCUCCACAGUCUGGAGUCUGGUCUCUGACAGGCUCAACAUACCUGUCAAUCAACAGGGACUCCUCUACAAAGGCAAGGCGCUGGCAGGUAGGCUGAACAGCACAGCACAGCACAGCACAGCUCACCCCUCCUCUCACCCCUCGCCUCACCCCUCCUCUCACUCCUCGCCUCACCCCGGGUCAGUGUGGCACAGCCUGCCUGCUCUUCUGAACAAACACUUCAGCCCUGCCGACGCAAUGAGAGUCUGGAGCAGCAACACGAGGUAACCUGAACACAAACACACACACUGCUAUACACACACACACACAGACACACACAAACACACACACAGUGAGAGGCUGGAGCAGCUACACAAGGUAAAUUGAACACAAUAAACACGGCUACACACACAAUCCUAGCUGCAGCAGAUGUACAAUGUUAUACAGACACACACAGACACAGCUGUACAGUGACACAGAGACGCACACACAAUCACAGCUGCAGCAUACACACUCUGAAAUGCAGGUGUAGAGCAGCGUGUAGUUGUGACUCUGUGUCUCUCUCCUCCCCCUCUCCUCUCCUCUCCUUACUUUGUUUAAAAGAAUAGAAGCACACCCAGUGAGCAAGGCAUUGAGCAGCCCCACAUCCCGCUUCACAAUACCGCUACAUAUUGACUGACUGUUCGCAUUGUGUGUGUUUGGUAAGACAAACCACAUUUUCUACUUCUACUUUCUACGAUUGGGCAAGUCAGCGGUUGUUUGAUAACAGAACAUAAAACAUUACAGAGUGGGUUGAACUGCAUUGCUGCAAAUCAAGGCCCUUUAAAAUGUGUACCUUCCCAGCUCAGGUAUUGCUGAGGUAAAGAGACACUUCCUACAGGAGGACAGGACGUUGUCAAGGAGGGGAUGUCGUCACGUGUCCUGAGGGCUUUCUUAAAAACAUUGUUUUAUUAUUUCUAAGCGUACGUUGUUAUUGCCUUUUAGCUCUUGAGCAUAAUAAUCUCAAUCCCGUUUGAAAUUACACUAAGUGCAUUUGCAUGGUGGCAGAUGAGGGAUGUCACUUCACUCGAGGCGUGCGUACUGAUGAAGAUGUAGUUUCAGUGUUUAAUGCUCAUCCCCUCACUGUGUGUCUGUGUGUGUCUGUGUGUGUGUGUGUGUGUGUGUUUGUGUGUUCUUGUCUCUCGCCUGUCCUGUGAGGAUGAAGAUGUAGUUUCAGUGUUUAAUGCUCAUCCCCUCACUGUGUGUCUGUGUGUUCUUGUCUCUUGACAGGUCUGUGAGGAUGAGAAGGUCUCCACAGUCUGGAGUCUGGUCUCUGACAGGCUCAACAUACCUGUCAAUCAACAGGGACUCCUCUACAAAGGCAAGGCGCUGGCAGGUAGGCUGAACAGCACAGCACAGCACAGCACAGCACAGAACAGCUCACCCCUCCUCAGUGUGGCACAGCCUGCCUGCUCUUCUGAACAAACACUUCAGCCCUGCCGACACAGUGAGAGUCUGGAGCAGCAACACAAGGAUUACGAGCGGAGGCUGCGCUUGUUGAGCCUGGAUGAUAUGGAGCGGCUUGCGACCCGCAUGCUUCACCCUGAGGCUGUGGAGUGCAUGGAGCUGUCCUUCCUGGACUGAGGAAUACUGCUGCUGCCCUCUCCUCUCCCCCUCUCCCCUCUCCUCUCCACCUCUCCCCUCUCUUCUCCCCUCUCCCCUCUCUCCUCUCCUCUGUACUCUCUCCUCCCCCUGUCCUCUUCUCUCCUUAGUUUGUUUAAAAGAAUAGAAGCACACCCAGUGAGCAAGGCAUUGAGCAGCCCCACAUCCCGCUUCACAAUACCGCUACAUAUUGACUGACUGUUCGCAUUGUGUGUGUUUGGUAAGACAAACCACAUUUUCUACUUCUACUUUCUACGAUUGGGCAAGUCAGCGGUUGUUUGAUAACAGAACAUAAAACAUCACAGAGCGGGUUGAACUGCAUUGCUGCAAAUCAAGGCCCUUUCAAAUGUGUACCUUCCCAGCUCAGGUAUUGCUGAGGUAAAGAGACACUUCCUACAGGAGGACAGGACGUUGUCAAGGAGGGGAUGUCGUCACGUGUCCUGAGGGCUUUCUUAAAAACAUUGUUUUAUUAUUUCUAAGCGUACGUUGUUACUGCCUUUUAGCUCUUGAGCAUAAUAAUCUCAAUCCCGUUUGAAAUGACACUAAGUGCAUUUGCAUGGUGCAGAUGAGGGAUGUCGCUUCACUCGAGGCUUGUGUACUGAUGAAGAUGUAGUUUCAGUGUUUAAUGGUUAUCCCCUCACUGUGUGUGUGUGUGUGUGUGUGUGUGUGUGUGUGUGUGUGUGUUCUUGUCUCUCGCCUGUCCAGUGAGGAUGAAGAUGUAGUUUCAGUGUUUAAUGCUCAUCCCCUCACUGUGUGUUUGUGUGUUCUUGUCUCUUGACAGGUCUGUGAGGAUGAGAAGGUCUCCACAGUCUGGAGUCUGGUCUCUGACAGGCUCAACAUACCUGUCAAUCAACAGGGACUCCUCUACAAAGGCAAGGCGCUGGCAGAUGAACACAGACUGUCACACGACUCCAUCGCUCCCGAUUCCAAGCUGAACUCGUUGUGACGCCCCCAACAGAGAAAGUGUCACCCUCCCAAGAACAGCACUCCCUGUGUCACCCCUCCUCUCAGACCUCACCCCUCACCCUCGCCUCACCCCUCCUGUCACACCUCACCCCUCGCCACACCCCUCCUCUCACACCUCACCCCUCCUCUCACCCAUCGCCUCAACCCUCCUGUCACCCCUCGUCCCUCCUCUCACCCCUCGCCUAACCCCUCCUCUCACGCCUCGCCUCACCCCAGGUCAGUGUGGCACAGCCUGCCUGCUCUUCUGAACAAACACUUCAGCCCUGCCGACGCAGUGAGAGUCUGGAGCAGCAACACAAGGAUUACGAGCGGAGGCUGCGCUUGUUGAGCCUGGAUGAUAUGGAGCGGCUGGCGACCCGCAUGCUUCACCCUGAGGCUGUGGAGUGCAUGGAGCUGUCCUUCCUAGACUGAGGAAUACUGCUGCUGCCCUCUCCACCUCUCCCCACUCUUCUCCCCUCUCCCCUCUCUCCUCUCCUCUUUACUCUCUCCUCCCCCUCUCCUCUCCUCUCCUUACUUUGUUUAAAAGAAUAGAAGCACACCCAGUGAGCAAGGCAUUGAGCAGCCCCACAUCCCGCUUCACAAUACCGCUACAUAUUGACUGACUGUUUGCAUUGUGUGUGUUUGGUAAGACAAACCACAUUUUCUACUUUCUGCUAUUUUAAAAGGAGCCCAGUUUGGUGCAGGAGGCUUGUGGGUAACAGAGUUGUUUUUGCUGGGGACUGCAGCCCUUCCAUUACCAUUGCUCGUAGAGGGGAGAUUGUUUUACUUUCAAGCCUUUUUCUUUAAUAAAUCCGGACGUUUGGAAAUACA